rnacentral:rRNA from 1 species
GACGAACGCUGGCGGCGUGCUUAACACAUGCAAGUCGAACGGAAAGGCCCUGCUUUUGUGGGGUGCUCGAGUGGCGAACGGGUGAGUAACACGUGAGUAACCUGCCCUUGACUUUGGGAUAACUUCAGGAAACUGGGGCUAAUACCGGAUAGGAGCUCCUGCUGCAUGGUGGGGGUUGGAAAGUUUCGGCGGUUGGGGAUGGACUCGCGGCUUAUCAGCUUGUUGGUGGGGUAGUGGCUUACCAAGGCUUUGACGGGUAGCCGGCCUGAGAGGGUGACCGGCCCACAUGGGGACUGAGAUAGGCCCCAGCCUCCAAGGGGGGGCAGGGGGGGGAAGUAUGACAAAGGGGGCGGAGGCGGGGGACGGCAGCCCCGCGGGGGGAAUGACGGCUUUGGGGUUGAAAACCGCUUUCGCCUGAGAGGAGGCGGGGGGGAGGGUAAGGGAAAAAGAAGAACGGGCAAACGACGGG